AAUGAGUCACUUCCACAGUCUCGCCGUACAAAGCAAACACACCCACCCUGAGAGUCCUCUUGGCCCCGUUACUGUCGCUGAAGAUGAUGGUGUCGGCGCCGCCCAUGGAGCACACCUGCUUCAGCCGAGCUCCGCCGCACACCGGGACGAUGGACACGGAGAAGUCCUACCAGAAAAACGGGGGGAGAAAAAAAAAAAAAAGGUUGAACUCUCACACUCACUUUCCCACGUUGCUUUUAUUUAGCCGUCCGUGCAGUUCGGCAGACAUUGCAGAAGCGCCUGGUUUUACAGAAAAGGAAAGUCAUGCAAUGACGUCCGCUUCAUGAUGAUGUUCUCCCGAUGUUCUCAGGUGCGUACGCGCUACUGCUCUACGAUUCAUCACGCUGCCAUGCAACGAUGUGUCAGUCUUCUUGUCGUCCACCGCCUUGUUUAGCACCAAAUAAAUACUAUUUGUAAGGGAAGGAUUACAGCUAAUCUUUCCUGUGAUAAAAUGGCAACCAGGGUAAUCAAAAAGGUUAACCAAAGAACGAGAUUCCUCUACAGAAUCUCCUCUCUGGUCAACAAAAGCACCUUGAGGAUUCUAGCGGGAACUCUCCUUCAACCCUUUUUUUAUUACGCUUGCACCUCCUGGUACCCCAGCACCUCCAAAACCCUCAAAUCUAGACUCCAAACAUCCCAGAAUAAGCUAGUCCGGUUACUUUUAGACCUCCACCCCAGAUCACACAUCACUCAAACCCACUUCUCCAAAGUGGGCUGGCUCAGAGUGGAGGACGGAGUAAAACAACUUGCACUGAGCCUAGUCAAUAAAAUCCGCUACACCUCCCUGAUACCGAAGCACAUGUCAAACUACUUCCUUAACGUAAAUGACCGGCAUAACCACAACACCAGGGGGAGCUCCACAAACCACGUUAAACCCAGAUUCCGAUCUAACAAAAGUUCUCUUUCUAUGCCACAUCAAUGUGGAAUGCACUCCCAAGAGGUGUAAAAAUAAGUGCAUCUCUAUAUUCCUUCAAAACCGCUCUAAAACAACACCUCCAGGCAACUUCAACCCUUUACUAAUACCCUCCUCCAUUCACAUCCCAUCUCCCCGGAUUAUAAACAACCGAAUGUAAAUAAUCAAAUGUUUUCCCAAUGUAUAUACUUGUUCUUAUGCUAUCUGACCUCACUAUGUUCUCUGCUGGCUGUACAUAUCCUAUUAAAUAAGACCUACACUGUUUCAAUGUCCACAUUUCUCUGUUGAUGCAAUUGUUGAUGACUGAAGUACUGAUAUCAACCAAAGCUCCUCAUCCCACCCCCCGGAUUGUAAAUAAUGUAAAUAAUUAAAUGUAUAAACUAUGAUGAUUAA